UACGUAGGGUCCGAGCGUUGUCCGGAAUUAUUGGGCGUAAAGGGCUCGUAGGCGGUUUGUCGCGUCGGGAGUGAAAACUCAGGGCUCAACCCUGAGCGUGCUUCCGAUACGGGCAGACUAGAGGUAUGCAGGGGAGAACGGAAUUCCUGGUGUAGCGGUGGAAUGCGCAGAUAUCAGGAGGAACACCGGUGGCGAAGGCAGCUUGCUGGCAUAUUUCUGACGCUAAGGCACGAAAGCGUGGGGAGCGAACAGG
rnacentral:rRNA from 1 species